CUACGGGGGGCAGCAGUGGGGAAUAUUGGACAAUGGGCGAAAGCCUGAUCCAGCAAUGCCGCGUGAGUGAUGAAGGCCCUAGGGUUGUAAAGCUCUUUUACCCGGGAAGAUAAUGACUGUACCGGGAGAAUAAGCCCCGGCUAACUCCGUGCCAGCAGCCGCGGUAAUACGGAGGGGGCUAGCGUUGUUCGGAAUUACUGGGCGUAAAGCGCACGUAGGCGGCUUUGUAAGUCAGAGGUGAAAGCCUGGAGCUCAACUCCAGAACUGCCUUUGAGACUGCAUCGCUUGAAUCCAGGAGAGGUCAGUGGAAUUCCGAGUGUAGAGGUGAAAUUCGUAGAUAUUCGGAAGAACACCAGUGGCGAAGGCGGCUGACUGGACUGGUAUUGACGCUGAGGUGCGAAAGCGUGGGGGGCAAACAGGAUUAGAUACCCCAGUAGUC
rnacentral:rRNA from 1 species